CCUACGGGAGGCAGCAGUAGGGAAUUUUCCACAAUGGGCGAAAGCCUGAUGGAGCAACGCCGCGUGCAGGAUGAAGGCCUUCGGGUUGUAAACUGCUUUUCUCUGUGAAGAUUAUGACGGUAGCAGAGGAAUAAGGAUCGGCUAACUACGUGC
rnacentral:rRNA from 1 species